rnacentral:rRNA from 1 species
CCUACGGGAGGCAGCAGUGGGGAAUAUUGGACAAUGGGGGCAACCCUGAUCCAGCCAUGCCGCGUGAGUGAUGAAGGCCUUCGGGUUGUAAAGCUCUUUUGGCGGGGACGAUGAUGACGGUACCCGCAGAAUAAGCCCCGGCUAACUUCGUGCCAGCAGCCGCGGUAAGACGAAGGGGGCUAGCGUUGUUCGGAAUUACUGGGCGUAAAGCGAGUGUAGGUGGUUGUCCAAGUUGGAUGUGAAAGCCUUGAGCUCAACUCAAGAAAUGCAUUCAGGACUGGAUGACUAGAGGACCGGAGAGGAUAGUGGAAUUCCCAGUGUAGUGGUGAAAUACGUAGAGAUUGGGAAGAACACCAGUGGCGAAGGCGGCUAUCUGGACGGUUUCUGACACUAAGACUCGAAAGCGUGGGGAGCAAACAGGAUUAGAUACCCUGGUAGUCCACGCCGUAAACGAUGGGUGCUAGACGUUGGCGAGCUUGCUCGUCAGUGUCGCAGCUACGACGUAGUACACCCGCCGUCGGGAGGUACGGCCGCGAGUAGAACGUACAAAGAAGUAGACGGCGUGAGACGNGCCGACGGACGACGACGAGGGAGAGG